rnacentral:lncRNA from 1 species
CAAGUUCUGCACAGGAAGCAUCUCUUCCUAUAGGGCACUUGGCAAAGUGCUACAUAAAUUUAUGAGGCUAUAAUAAGUGAUUUGUUUUUACCAGUGUUAACAACAAUUUAUAUUUUUAUGCAGCAUGUUUUAAAAUAUUAUCUGUGACUUCCUCCCUUCCACUCUUCACAAUUAAGCCGGGAAUUUAUUAUUCUGACAGUCGGAUGCUCUCACAGCCCAAGCCCGCUCCUGCCUGCGGGGUUAGUGCAGCACUAGCGAUGGCCUGGCACCAUUAUGUCUCACGCAGUAACGCUCACAGCCUUUUCACUGGCUUCUCUGCUCUGUUUCCCCCCCAGAGAAGGAGCCGUCCAUCCCAGAGGACAGCGAGGAUUCCGGGAGCGGACAGAGAAAUGAACCACAAGGAUGCCACGAGGCUGGAGCAGCCCUGGAAAUCCCGCGGAGAGCUGCAGGCUGCUCCAGCCAAGACACCCAUUCGCUCUGCUCAGCUGCUUAACCCCUGCCUUCUGUGCUGGACGGGCUGCGGGGCUGCUUCUGCUGCACAAUCUCACCAGCCACAUCCAAACAGCACGCAUCCUGUCCGCAGAAAAAUAACAGGAGGCCGGGAGCCUGCCUCCUUACGCAGUCCCUGAGCAUGGCGGGAGGUUUCACCGAGCACAAGCACAGCAGCGAAAACCGACGGCUGUCACUAGGUUUCAGCAUCAACAGGCUUCUGAAACAACGAGCCCAAAGCAAAGGGCCGGGGGCAGAGCGCCUCCCCCACGGCCCUGCCUUGGGCUGCCCGGGCUGCAGAAGAAAAUGAGGCAGUUGUCACGUUCGGCUGGUUUUCUUAAUGACCCCAAGGCCCAUAAAUGUGGGAGCAGGCUCUCGUCCCACUUACAUCGGUGUAAAUCAGUCACACUGAAAUCAGUCUCUGCUCUGGGUGCAGGUUCAGGUAUCGAGCCAGGGCACCUGGGACAUCCACCGUCCCAUGAGGAGGUUGCAGAGCGAUGUUCUCCCUUGCCUGGCCUUAUCUUCAAGUGCUGAAACGGCAGCCAGGAUCCCUGUUCUGCGAACGGUCUUAAUUUUAGCAAGAUAUUUUCAACAGCUUGCACAAACAUCGUGCUUAUGAAACUGUGGCGAGGGAUUAAACGCAGAGCCUGGCUGUGCUCUCACUGCGAGGCAUCUUCAGCUGAUGCAAUUAAUUCUGACCUUUUGAAGGUAGCAUUGGUGGGAGGGGUGAGGCCUUCCAUCCAACCAGCUGAUGUUGUGGGAAAAAUAAACUUGAGGGAGCACAAAGCUUUCUGCUGAUG